rnacentral:rRNA from 1 species
UGGGGAAUAUUGCACAAUGGGCGCAAGCCUGAUGCAGCCAUGCCGCGUGUGUGAAGAAGGCCUUCGGGUUGUAAAGCACUUUCAGCGAGGAGGAAGGUGGUGAGCUUAAUACGCUCAUCAAUUGACGUUACUCGCAGAAGAAGCACCGGCUAACUCCGUGCCAGCAGCCGCGGUAAUACGGAGGGUGCAAGCGUUGAUCGGAAUUACUGGGCGUAAAGCGCACGCAGGCGGUUUGUUAAGUCAGAUGUGAAAAUCCCCGGGCUCAACCUGGGAACUGCAUUUGAAACUGGCAAGCUAGAGUCUCGUAGAGGGGGGUAGAAAUUCCAGGCGUAGCGGUGAAAUGCGUAGAGAUCUGGAGGAAUACCGGUGGCGAAGGCGGCCCCCUGGACGAAGACUGACGCUCAGGUGCGAAAGCGUGGGGAGCAAACAGGAUUAGAUACCCUGGUAGUCCACGCUGUAAACGAUGUCGAUUUGGAGGUUGUGCCCUUGAGGCGUGGCUUCCGGAGCUAACGCGUUAAAUCGACCGCCUGGGGAGUACGGCCGCAAGGUU